rnacentral:rRNA from 1 species
UGGGGAAUAUUGGACAAUGGGCGCAAGCCUGAUCCAGCCAUGCCGCGUGAGUGAUGAAGGCCCUAGGGUUGUAAAGCUCUUUCACCGGUGAAGAUAAUGACGGUAACCGGAGAAGAAGCCCCGGCUAACUUCGUGCCAGCAGCCGCAGUAAUACGAAGGGGGCUAGCGUUGUUCGGAUUUACUGGGCGUAAAGCGCACGUAGGCGGACUUUUAAGUCAGGGGUGAAAUCCCGGGGCUCAACCCCGGAACUGCCUUUGAUACUGGAAGUCUUGAGUAUGGUAGAGGUGAGUGGAAUUCCGAGUGUAGAGGUGAAAUUCGUAGAUAUUCGGAGGAACACCAGUGGCGAAGGCGGCUCACUGGACCAUUACUGACGCUGAGGUGCGAAAGCGUGGGGAGCAAACAGG